UGAGGAAUAUUGGGCAAUGCCCGCAAGGGUGACCCAGCAACGCCGCGUGGAGGAUGAAUGUCGUAAGAUUGUAAACUCCUGUUAGAGGGGAAGAAUAGUACCGGUUGGACCGGUAUAUGACUGUACCCUCAGAGAAAGCCCCGGCUAACUACGUGCCAGCAGCCGCGGUAAUACGUAGGGGGCAAGCGUUGUCCGGAUUUACUGGGUGUAAAGGGCGCGCAGGCGGGAUAAAAAGUCAGUGGUGAAAUCCUACAGCUUAACUGUAGAACUGCCUUUGAUACUUUUAUUCUUGACUUCGGGAGAGAGAGGCGGAAUUCCAGGUGUAGUGGUGAAAUACGUAGAUAUCUGGAAGAACACCAGUUGCGAAGGCGGUCUCUUGGUCCGACACUGACGCUGAGGCGCGGAAGCGUGGGGAGCAAACA
rnacentral:rRNA from 1 species